AUGGAGGAUAGGAGCUCAUUGAGACUUGGAAAGCUUGUGAUAGCCUCGAAUCAACAGAGAAAGACUGACCUUCCAGUGGAUAAAUGCUUCAAAAUGUCAUCUUUCUGGAUUUCCACAGCUGACCAAGAAGUCGAGAUUAGGCAGGCAAAUCACCGUGAUACUACAACAGCUAUAAAGUAUUUCGGAGCAGGAACCAAGCUGGUGAUUUACGAGGGUGCCACAAAAGUACCCAAACCAAUCAUGUUUCGUCCUCCAUCUGAGCUGAAAAAAAGGAAUGAAGGAAUAUACAUUUGCCUCCUCGAGGAUUUUUACCCUGAGUUCGUCACAAUGACAUGGCAGGAACAGGGGAGCACUACUGCUCUGCCCUCGUACCAGAGUGCCAUAGAAAAGAUGAAUGAAGACAAAAAAACAUUUUGGGCGUUCAGCUGGCUGCUUGUUAAUAAAACAACGCAGGACAAGGUGUAUGAAUUCGUAUUCAGUCAUGAGCCAAGUAAAGAGAAAAAUAUUGUAGAAUUUCCAGAAGCCGACUCAGCUCUUCACCCCACCACUACCCCUACAGGAAAAAUUCCUUGCACCGUCGGCCCAGAUCACCAUCCCGGGGUCAAGCAAGACGUGCAGUUCAUGAACACGUCCGCCUAUUACACCUACACCAUCCUGCUGCUCAAGAGCACCAUGUAUUGUGUCAUCAUGCUGUUCUUCGUGUACAAAAGGACCACGACCAGCGGCAAGGGGAGAUGAUCAGCCCGUUGACAUCUCCAGAGAAACGUGUGGCAGCCAACGGGAUUUUCCGGGACCAUGCGCCAGGCUUCUCUCCGGACCUGCACGCGAGAAGCAGAGCGGCACAUGGAAGUUGAUAUGUGUUAUUUCUGUCACAAUUACAAGCGUUUCUUUGUAAUCACCGGGCAGAAGUUCAUUUUAUCAUUUCAUUUUUAAACUGUAACAAACCCUCUUUCAUUGAUGUGUUCUUUUUAUUCUAUUUUCUGGGAUUAUUUUAAACGUCUCACGUAUUCUCUGCAUCAAUCUAUCUGGUCACAUAAAUAAAAGCCCCACACCUACCUGCGAUGUGUGUUAUUUCUGUCGCAAUUACAAGCGUUUCUUCUUUGUAAUCACCGGGCAGAAGUUCAUUUUAUAAUUUCAUUUUUAAACUGUAAGAAACCCUCUUUCAUUGAUGUGUUCUUUUUAUUCUAUUUUCUGGGAUUAUUUUAAACGUCUCAAUUUAUUCUCUGCAUCAAUCUAUCUGGUCACAUAAAUAAAAGCCCCACACCUACCUGCGAUGUGUGUUAUUUCUGUCGCAAUUACAAGCGUUUCUUCUUUGUAAUCACCGGGCAGAAGUUCAUUUUAUAAUUUCAGUUUUAAACUGUAACAAACCCUCUUUCAUUGAUGUGUUCUUUUUAUUCUAUUUCCUGGGAUUAUUUUAAACUUCUCACGUAUUCUCUGCAUCAAUCUAUCUGGUCACAUAAAUAAAAGCCCCACACCCACCUGCGAUGAAAAGUUGUUCUUUCGCUUGCUUCCACUACUUGUAAAUAAUUCAUGUCUGUUUGUCUUCCCCAUUAGAUUGCAAGUUCUUUCCCCACGUAGGCUGGGAGCUUCAUAAUGGGCAGGAACUGUUGUAUUUACCUCAGCACUUAGUACAGUGCUUGGCA